UACGUAGGUGGCAAGCGUUGUUCGGAAUUAUUGGGCUUAAAGCGUGUGUAGGCGGAUGGGUAAGUACCUUGUGAAAUCCCACGGCUCAACCGUGGAACUGCUCGGUAUACUGCUCGUCUUGAGCCAACUAGGGGCGACCGGAACAAACGGUGGAGCGGUGAAAUGCGUAGAUAUCGUUUGGAACGCCGAUGGUGAAAACAGGUCGCUGGGGUUGUGCUGACGCUGAGACACGAAAGCCAGGGGAGCGAACGGG
rnacentral:rRNA from 1 species